GGCGGACGGGUGAGGAAUGCUUGGGAAUCUGCCUGUUAGUGGGGGACAACCCGGGGAAACCCGGGCUAAUACCGCAUACGCUCUACGGAGGAAAGCGGGGGACCGAAAGGCCUCGCGCUAACAGAUGAGCCCAAGUCGGAUUAGCUAGUUGGUGGGGUAAAGGCCUACCAAGGCUACGAUCCGUAGCUGGUCUGAGAGGACGAUCAGCCACACUGGGACUGAGACACGGCCCAGACUCCUACGGGAGGCAGCAGUGGGGAAUAUUGGACAAUGGGGGCAACCCUGAUCCAGCAAUGCCGCGUGUGUGAAGAAGGCCUGCGGGUUGUAAAGCACUUUUGGCAGGGAUGAAAAGCACUGGCCUAAUAAGCCAGUGUGUUGACCUAACCUGCAGAAGAAGCACCGGCUAACUCUGUGCCAGCAGCCGCGGUAAUACAGAGGGUGCAAGCGUUAAUCGGAAUUACUGGGCGUAAAGCGCGCGUAGGCCGUCGAGUAAGUCGGUUGUGAAAUCCCCGGGCUUAACCUGGGAAUUGCAGUCGAUACUGCUUG
rnacentral:rRNA from 1 species